rnacentral:rRNA from 1 species
AUUGAACGCUGGCGGCAGGCCUAACACAUGCAAGUCGAGCGAGCGGCGGACGGGUGAGUAAUGUAUGGGGACUGCCCGCUCGAGGGGGUUAACUACUGGAAACGGUGGCUAAUACCGCAUACUAUCGGAUAACCCAUAUGGGAUUAGCUAGUAGGUGGGGUAAAGGCUCACCUAGGCGACGAUCUGUGGCUGGUCUGAGAGGAUGAUCAGCCGCACGGGGACUGGGACACGGCCCAGGCUCCUACGGAGGCAGCAGUGGGGAAUAUUGCACAAUGGGCGCAAGCCUGAGACAGCAAUGCCGCGUGUAUGAAGAAGGCCUUAGGGUUGUAAAGUACUUUCAGCGGGGAGGCGUUACACGCAGAAGAAGCACCGGCUAACUACGUGCCAGCAGCCGCGGUAAUAC